AUGUAUUCCAUACUAAAAACCGUCUCGAAAGUUAACAGCGUAGCCUCCGUCGCACGAAGAGCGACUGGAGUCAGAACUCACAUCGUUUCUGGACCACCGACAAGGCCAAUCCCCAAACCAAUAAGAGCUGUCAUUGGUGGCAUCCUGUUUGUGGGCUGCCUGGGUGUUCCAGCCUGGAUCACAUACCAUAUUCCAUCGUACUCUAAAAAGUAAAGUUAAAUCAUGUUCGUAUUUUCUAAUUAUUUUGUCACUAGUUUGAAGAGUCUUUGCUCUUCUUAUUAUCUCUUGCAUUAAGUCAGUAAAAUUAUUACACCCAGCUAAAAUUGUUCGAUUACUUUUUAAUUUCAACAUUUGUUUUGAACUUACCAACCUGUACAUGUUGUGAGCCUCAUAAAUGUAUCUUGUUAACAGGCCUGUCUUCUUUUUUUCUACUCUCCUCACAUUUAUGCAUUAAAAUAUUGUAUCACAACUACAGACACAAUAUUAUUUUAGCUGUUACCUACCUAUUUUUUAUUCUGGAACUUCCAUUUCUUGAAUCUAGUAUAAUAACUCCAACUUACCAAAAAAAAAAAAGGUUUAUACAAAUAAAACAGUAUACUUGGAUUGUCUCCCCCCUAAUUUCUAAGUGUCAUUAUGUUUUACACAAAAAUCCCUUUUAGCAGAGUCUCAUUAAAUAGACUGUAAAAAAGACACAAAUUUUGAGAGAAGAUCAAUUUUAUGAGAAGAAAAAGGGACUACCUAAAUACCACCUAGUCAGUCCUAUUCCCAAACGUUUCCAGUCAUGGGCGGAAAUAGGGGGGGGCCGGGGGGGCCUGGCCCCCCCACAAUGCUGAUCGGCCCCUUCCAAAAAUGUCAAGGACCCAAGCUACUAAUUAACUUUGAGGUAAAAGGCAUAUGGAAUGUAAUAAAUAUGGGCUUAAUCCCAAUGUAAUCGAUCAAAGAUGUCAGAAAAAUGAAAAUUACUUGCAAAGAGAGCAGCUUCCUCCGAGUAAGGAACAUGGACUGCAGUUUGAUUGUAUCAGGUUGUGGUUUUUCGCGCAUUUCAGCGCAAUAAUUGUUUUCAUGAGAGUUAAACUAAGAUAAAUUCAAUUAAAACCCACAGUAAGAUAUGAUAUUUUUAAAAACAAGUCAGAAAAAUUUCUGUCAUCUGUAAUAUUUAUUUCCAUUUAAUUUGUCAUUGAGAAUGGCUUUAAAUUGCUCCCAAGACGUUCUAAUUUUCAAAAAUUUUCCGGGGGAGGCCCCCCGGACCCCCUCUGCAGCUGGGGGAGUCCCCCCAGACCCCCCUUAGCCCAAGCCAUAUAUCCUUCUGUGCCCUCCCCACAAAAAAUUCCUAGUUCCGCCCAUGUUUCCAGUUUAAAUUCUAUUCCCCCCCCCUUUUUUUUCAAAUUUGAUUAUCGCCUCAUAGUUUGCAUCAAAUUCAGUAUAUUUAAGCACGUCGACAGCGUAAGUCUGCAACCACGUAUCUCGUUUGCGGUGUUUCAAAAUCUCUAAUCCUAUUUUAUUUGUUUAAAAGAGAAGAAAUCAACAAAAGGCGACAAAAUCUCUCAUUUCUUGAGAGUAAGUAUAGUAAUUUCUAAUUUGUCGUC
rnacentral:lncRNA from 1 species